CACAGAUGUCUCAAGUUUUGAGGAAGCGUGCAAUUGGCAUACUGUCUGCAGGAAUGUUCACAAGAGCUGUUGCCAGAGAUUUCUCCACCAUAAGCCGUCUCCAACGUUGUUUUAGAGAAUUUGGCAGUACGUCCAACCGGCCUCACAACAGCAGACCACGUGUAACCAAGUCAGCCCAGGACCUCCACAUCCGGCUUCUUCACCCUCGGGAUCGUCUGGGGGAGGUGCUCCCCAGUGGGUGCGGUGUCAUGUGAAAUCCAUAGAUGAAGCCGGACCUGUUAUAGCCGGACCUGUUUCCUGCACAUAUAACCUGGGGGCUGUUUCAUGAAACAUUGGCAAUCUGCAAUGACCUCUGAUCAAAACUCUGCCUUUUGAUUGGGAGAACAUCACCAGGGAGCUUGUUCAAAUACUGGCACUGUAGUAAAGUAACUAUGCCAAUACAAUGCUGCUUGUUUGCCAGAGGUCUCAGCUCUUAAGUUUGUCAAGCAAAGAAAGGAAGAGGGAGGGAUAGACGCCGCAACCGGAAGGCCCUACAGCGCGUGGUGCGGAUGGCCCAGCACAUCACCGGGUGAGCUCCCAGCCAUCCAGGACUUACAUGCCAGGCAUUGUCUGAGAAAGUCCACCUAGGACAUGGACUGUUCUCAGUGCUCCCGUACAGAGCGUGGUGCGGACGGCCCAGCACAUCACCGGGGGCGAGCUCCCAGCCAUCCAGGACCUACAUGCCAGGCGGUGUCUGAGAAUGCGGUGUCUGAGAAAGUCCAUCUAGGACAUGGACUGUUCUCCGUGCUCCCGUCCGGGAGGCGGUAACGGUGCAUCAAGGCUCAGACAAACAAACUCCAAAACAGCUUCUAUCCCCUGGCCAUAAGACUGUUAAAUGGCCAACUACUGCUCCUCUCCCACAGACUAUCCACACUGACUCUAUGCCCAUCCACAGGUUUCCACCCACUCAGACACAACCUACGUUGCUGCUAAAAUGAUAAUUGAUUAGAUUUAUUAGUCCAUUAAACUGCUCUCCAUUGAGUACACUUACGUUUGAGUCGUAUCCAGAGCGACUUAAAUGAGCAAUUAUGGUUAAGUGCCUUGCUCAAGGGCACAUGAACAGAUUUUACACCGAGUCAGCUCGGUGAUUCAAACCAACAACCUUUCAGUUACUGGCCCAACGCAUUAACCGUUAGGCUACCUGCUGAUUAUUUAUUGCCGUUAGUAUUUACAGUGCCUUCAGAAAGUAUUCCUACUCCUUGACGUAUUACACAUUUUGUGGUGUUAUAGUCUGAAUUCAAAAUGGAUAAAAAACAUUAUAAUAAUUCACCC
ensembl:lncRNA